UGAGGAAUAUUGGGCAAUGGAGGCGACUCUGACCCAGCCAUGCCGCGUGCAGGAAGACUGCCCUAUGGGUUGUAAACUGCUUUUAUACAGGAAGAAACACUGGUAUGUAUACCAGCUUGACGGUACUGUAAGAAUAAGGACCGGCUAACUCCGUGCCAGCAGCCGCGGUAAUACGGAGGGUCCGAGCGUUAUCCGGAAUCAUUGGGUUUAAAGGGUCCGCAGGCGGUCAAUUAAGUCAGAGGUGAAAUCCCAUAGCUCAACUAUGGAACUGCCUUUGAUACUGGUUGACUUGAGUUAUACGGAAGUAGAUAGAAUGUGUAGUGUAGCGGUGAAAUGCAUAGAUAUUACACAGAAUACCGAUUGCGAAGGCAGUCUACUACGUAUAUACUGACGCUCAUGGACGAAAGCGUGGGGAGCGAACAGGAUUAGAUACCCUGGUAGUCCACGCCGUAAACGAUGGAUACUAGUUGUUGGGCAUUAGCUCAGUGACUAAGCGAAAGUGAUAAGUUCCCMC
rnacentral:rRNA from 1 species